rnacentral:lncRNA from 1 species
AAUAUUUCCUUCUAAGGAUUUUCUUCAGAGGCCAUUGGAUUUUGGUGAGCUUUGUUUUCACUUGAUUAGGGCAACUGAGUUUCAAGCCCUUUUGCCUUCACAAAUUCAAAUAUAUUAAUUCACAUUUCACUUAAUUUGUCCAUUUGUCCAUUUGUUUCUGAGAAACUGAUGACGAGGAAGCAUGUGCAGAAAGUCUGAAUGUGUGUGUGUAUUUGAGGGGCCAUGGGAUACUGUUGGCUACAAACAAACAUGAAUCAUAUUUAUUUUCUUAUAUGAGAAGAAGUUUGGAUAUGGAGGGUCACUAGUGUUGAUUUAACUGAUUAAGAAUGUCACAAAAGAUUCAGGUUCUGUUCUGCUGCCCUUCAUACAUGGUAGCCCUAUGUGCUGGCUACAUUUGUCCUUUUCAUCAGAAAAAGCAAAAGCCCUUCCAGAAUCUUCUCUAGUAAAUGCUUGCUUAAGUACAUUGGCUAGAAGUGUGUUUUUCUUCCCCCCAUAGCUGGGAGGCAGAGGAACUGAGAACCUGUCCUAAAACCCCUAAUGGAAGCAAACAGAGAAGAAGGGAAUACAAACAUUAUUAUAUUUGCUACCAAAGCAAACAUAAAGAAUACUUUACAAUCAUUAUGCAAAAAUUAUAUUCCAAGGCAUCUUGACAUCUACCAUAUUAAUUAACAGAAAUACACAUUUCCUUACUGAAUGAUAAUUGAGGUUCUUCUAUAUUUCAGGCUAAUUAUUUAAAAACUUAAUUGUUCAUUCAUUCUUUAAACAUGUUUGAAUGACAGCUGGUGGCCAGAUACUAUACUACUAAACACUAUGGAUAAAUAAAUAAACUGUUCAUAGUUUUCUUUCUCGGGAAGGAGAAAAACCAUAAAACAAAAUUAGUUAUAGUAUGUGGUAGGUAGAAAAAUGCUCCUACCCAAAAACGUUCACAUCUUAAUCUUGCGAACAUGGUAUGUUUCACAGCAAAAGAGAAUCAAGGCAGCAGAUGGAAUUAUCGUCACUAAUCAGCUGGCUUGGAGAUAUGGAGAUGGUUAUGGAUUAUUCAGGUGGGUCCAAUCUAAUAACAUGAGUCCUUAAAUACAGAGGAAGAGACAGAGGGGAUGUCAGAGAGCCAAGACAUGAGAAGGACUUGACUUCCAUGUCUGCAACAGUGGAGGAAAAGGGCCAAGAACAAAAGAUGUGGCAGUCUCUAGAUGAGAACAUCCCUCAGCCUACAGCCAGCAAGAAAACAGGAACCUUAGUCCUACAACUGCAAGGUUCUAAAUUCUGCCAACAAUCUGAAUGAGUCUGGAUGAGGAUUCUUCCCCAGAGAUUCUAGAAAGGGAUGGAGACAACCAGCACCUUAAUUUUAGCCCAGUGAGACUUGUUAUCUAUGUAACUAUAAGAUGAAAAGGUUAUGCCGUUUUAAAGCACUAUGUUUGCAGUAAUUUGUUAAGGCAGCAAUAGAAGACUAAUAUAGAGUUAUAUGUUAAUGGCCACAUUAAACAAAAUAUAUAUCAUGACAAAGGCUUAAGAAACAUCUGGAAUAUUUGGAUGUCUUGGAUGUUAAGAAUCUUGGGUCUGUAAGUAAUAAGAAGCCAUCAAGAAAUUUCAGCUGGGGAUUUACACUAGUAAAAUGAAAAUUUACUUUCCAAAAUUAACAGGAUCAAUUUUCGUAGAAGCUCUAUUUAUAAGCACAAGAAAUUGGAAACAAGCCAAAUGUCUUUCAGCUGAUGAAUGGACAAACCAAUUGUGGCAUAUCCAUACAAUGGAGUACAAUGCAGCAUCAAAAAGAAACACACCGUAGACACCUGCAACAACUUGGAUUAAUCUCAGAGGGAUUAUGGUGCUGGCCAUGCAGGGACUUGGUCUCUGAAUGAGAUGAAGAGCCAUUAGCCUAUGAGCAGAGGAGCAGCAUAACAGGACUUCCGUUUUCAAGACACCUCUUUGGCUGUGAUGUUAGGAAUGAGGUAGAAACAGGGAGACCAGUUAGAAGGUUGUCACCAUAAUCAAGGUACCAGCAUGGGAGGGGUGAAAAGCAAUCAGCCUCCGGAUAUACUUUAAAGAGAGAAGAAACGGAAGAAUCAUCCAUGGAGUUAAGGUGAAAGCAGCACAAAUAGAGGAAAGUUUUAAAAAAAUUGUUCACUAGGGAGGUAUUUCCUGAAUAGAACUUCCUAACUGCAGCUACAGACCAUGUUAAAAGUGAUUGAUUUGCCUUAGCUACUGGCACAAAAUAUGGAGAGCAUUUCAAAAAGGUUCUUUAUAGUAAAACUUUGUUUUUCCUCUA